rnacentral:rRNA from 1 species
GUGGGGAAUAUUGGACAAUGGGCGAAAGCCUGAUCCAGCCAUGCCGCGUGUGUGAAGAAGGUCUUCGGAUUGUAAAGCACUUUAAGUUGGGAGGAAGGGUAGUAACCUAAUACGUUGCUACUUUGACGUUACCGACAGAAUAAGCACCGGCUAACUUCGUGCCAGCAGCCGCGGUAAUACGAAGGGUGCAAGCGUUAAUCGGAAUUACUGGGCGUAAAGCGCGCGUAGGUGGUUCAGUAAGUUGGAAGUGAAAUCCCCGGGCUCAACCUGGGAACUGCUUUAAAAACUGCUGAGCUAGAGUACGGUAGAGGGUUGUGGAAUUUCAUGUGUAGCGGUGAAAUGCGUAGAUAUAGGAAGGAACACCAGUGGCGAAGGCGACCACCUGGACUGAUACUGACACUGAGGUGCGAAAGCGUGGGGAGCAAACAGGAUUAGAUACCCGAGUAGUCC